rnacentral:rRNA from 1 species
GCGGUUAUACAAAUAAUAUAAUUUAAUUUUAUUAAUAAAAAUUAAAAUAAAUUGAAAUUUUAAAUUUAAAUUUUUUAAGUGAAAUUUUAAAUUUAAAUUAUAAUUUUUAUUUUUUAAUGAGGUUUAGAAAUUUAAUUUAUAAACUAGGAUUAGAUACCCUAUUAUUUUAAACGUAAUUAAUUAAAAUUAAUUUAGUAAAAGAUGUUCUUUAAAAAUAAAAAUUUUGGCGGUAUUUUAUUCUUUUCAGAGGAACCUGUUUUAUAAAUGAUAAUCCACGAUUUAAUUUAUUUUUAUUAUUAGUUUGUAUAUCAUCGUAAUUAAGUAUUUUUUUAGAAUUAUAAAUAUUUAGAAUUUUUAAUUAAAAAAUUAGUCAGAUCAAGGUGCAAUUUAUAUAAAAGUAGUAAUGGGUUACAAUAAAAGUAUUUUUGAAUAAUUUUUUUUAAAGAAAUUUGAAUUUGGAUUUGAGAGUAAAUUUAAUAAAUUAGUUAAAUUGAUUUUAGAUUUAAAAUAUGU